rnacentral:lncRNA from 1 species
GGUCGUUACAGAUUGGUAUCAGAGCCCUAGGUUCAUAUGGUCGGACCUAGAGUGUCGGGCUCAUAGAUGUUAUAGAAGGUCAAGCACAAUAGGAAGAUCAUGUCCACUAGGAUAGGAUGUAGAGUCCUGUCUUGAAUGAUGAUGUGAAAUGCCAUGAUUAUAUGCAUGUGCAUUAAUGUUAUGCUAUGAUAUGUGAUGUAUGUGAUGCGGGUUCAUGUGUUUGCACAUGAACCAUUUGAUGCUAAUGUUUUAUGUGAAGUGUACUGGUUUUCAGAAAACAGGAUGAGAGGAACUCG